rnacentral:tRNA from 1 species
GCUGUGGUGGCCGAGUGGUUAAGGCGUUGGACUUGAAAUCCAAUGGGUUAUGCCCGCGCAGGUUCGAAUCCUGCCCGCAGCG